UCGGGAAUAUUGCGCAAUGGAGGAAACUCUGACGCAGUGACGCCGCGUGCAGGAAGAAGGUUUUCGGAUUGUAAACUGCUUUAGACAGGGAAGAAACAAGACAGUACCUGUAGAAUAAGCUCCGGCUAACUACGUGCCAGCAGCCGCGGUAAUACGUAGGGAGCAAGCGUUAUCCGGAUUUAUUGGGUGUAAAGGGUGCGUAGACGGGAAAUUAAGUUAGUUGUGAAAUCCCUCGGCUUAACUGAGGAACUGCAACUAAAACUGAUUUUACUUGAGUGUUGGAGAGGAAAGUGGAAUUCCUAGUGUAGCGGUGAAAUGCGUAGAUAUUAGGAGGAACACCAGUGGCGAAGGCGACUUUCUGGACAAUAACUGACGUUGAGGCACGAAAGUGUGGGGAGCAAACAGGAUUAGAUACCC
rnacentral:rRNA from 1 species